ACCUAUCCCAACCCCAGAAGAGGAAUACGCUCAUGGACGCGCUUGGUCGAUUCAAGAGCUUAGGCAAAAGUCAUGGGAUGACCUUCACAAGCUCUACUGGCUCUGCGUGAAAGAACGCAACCGAAUAGCUACAGCCCGCUAUGAACGACAGCGGUUACAAGCUGGCUAUGGGGACUACGAGUCUAACAAUCGUGACAAAACAGUUCGUGGUACGCAACAAUCGAUCAAACAAGUUCUUCGCGAGCGAUGGUAUGCCUGGGAGGACGCGCGACAACUUUAUGAAAGCGGCG
rnacentral:sRNA from 1 species